GCUUUUUUUAAAACCUAUUGAAAUACACCUGUGAUUCUUUUACAAGGUGAGUCCUGAUUGAUUUGUAAAGCAUUUGAGAUACAAACAAAACUCUCAAAAUCUACAUAGACAUAGACAAUCUAUGGUUUUCUUUUCCUAUGUACAUGACGUUGUUGUUGUUUUCGAAGAUUUUGCUUGUAUUUCAAAAGGAGUUGAGUAUAUAUUAUUUCAUUCCAUGUAUCAGGAACUCCUGGGAGACACCAAUGGCUGCAAUCUUGGAAUCUCAAUGGCGAUCUCUUCUCCUCUUCAGGUAAAUCCUUCUCCCUAUAAAUUGAAGGGUGAGCAUCUCUGCGAAAGUUGGUCAUUCUUGUAACAUUCAAAUAGAAUAUAGGCGCCUUCAUCUCUUCAAGUACAGACUCCAGAAUUUUCACCAUGGAUGGGUCAUUUUCAAACUGAUUCUCCUCCGUAAGUGGCUCGGUCUCACCGUCGCAACGCCCUCCAGAAUUCCAUUCUCCACCUCUGUAAAUUUAUAGAAAUUCAUCCUCAAUUAACGGAAAGUAAAUGCUUUCUAAAAUUUAACAAUACUUCAUGGUUCACAUGCCUAAAAUGGGAAACAGAGUAGCCCCUGAAAACAACAAGGGUCUUGAGAGGAUCUACAUUUGCCUCCACCCAUUUGGCCCACGUUGUCAUAGCUUUCCUAAAUGCCAUAUCGACAUUUAAUUCGUCAUAGAUAUGGCUACCUUCUUGGUAGUAACCUUUCCCACUGGAAGUUUUCUCAUGAGUCCACCAAUGUCCUGUGUUGAAUACAAGAACAUCUGCACUUCUAUACUUAUCGGCUGAUCUCUCCACCAAAUCAAUACGAAGUGUUUCUUUGUUUGCUCCAUUUGUUUCUUGCAUUUCCCAUUCUUGAACAAGAAAUGUUGAACGAAAGAAUUCCACUGAGCAGUUAUAAUCCUCAAACACAAAAGAAUAGGAAUCUUCUGUUUUAAAUUCUUCUUUGCCAGAGGCUUCAAAAACUUUGCUCUUAUCUUUUGCUGCAUUUCGAAGAAUACAAACCAUAGAUUCCCACAUGUUUCUAUUGAGAGAAUCGCCAAUAAAAACAAGACGCUUCCCUCUCAGCAUCUCCAACAUAUGUUUGCCAUUUAGCUUUGGGAUGUUGCAAUCGUCUGGUUGCCAUCUAUAUUUCUGAUAACCAUUAUCUGGCCUUCCAUUUAUAAAACAAUUGAAAGGCUCAUCAAUGUGUGGGCAAGACCCUGGUUCAAAAAGUGGAUAAGAAUUAUCUUUCACCCAUCUCCCAUCAAAUAUAUUGCAUCGUCUCAUUGUCUCCAUCCAUUUGAUGUUCUUCUUCUUUCUAUUUCUCCUUUUUGGCACAAGUGCCUUGUGUCUUGUACUUCUCUUCUUCUGCACAACAUUUUUCUUCCUUUCAUUUUUCCUCUUUGAUAAAUCUUGGUUUUCUUGGAAGGAAUUUUUUCUUGAAUCCUUAGAUAAUAAAGAUUGAGAAUCCAUGGCCAUGUUUGCACCAUCACUCAAUAAUGGGUUAAUAUAGUUGCCCUCAUUAGGUGGUGGGAAUGUGGAGUUGUUUUCGGAGGUAUAGUUGGAAUCUUGAAUCAAAGAAAUGCCAUCGUCAGCAUUAUCAUUCAUGGAUAAAGAUUCAUUAGAAACUUGAAAUGGGAUGUUUGGCUGGUGAGAAAAUGAGGAAGAAUAGAGAACACGGGAGAAUAAGGUGGAAAAUUGAGAUUUAUAAGAGGAAGUAGAAUUGGUAGUGGUUCUAAUGAAAUUAUUAAACCAAGGAGAUGAAUAAAAGAAAUAAGAAGAUGAUGGGUUAAAGGCAAAGAGAA
rnacentral:misc_RNA from 1 species